rnacentral:rRNA from 1 species
AUACGGAGGGUGCAAGCGUUGUUCGGAAUUAUUGGGCGUAAAGCGCGUGUAGGCGGUCUGUUAAGUCUGGUGUGAAAGCCCUGGGCUCAACCCAGGAAGUGCAUUGGAUACUGGCAGACUUGAGUAUGGGAGAGGAAAGCGGAAUUCCGAGUGUAGGAGUGAAAUCCGUAGAUAUUCGGAGGAACACCAGUGGCGAAGGCGGCUUUCUGGACCAAUUCUGACGCUGAGACGCGAAAGCGUGGGGAGCAAACAGGAUUAGAAACCCCAGUAGUCC